rnacentral:tRNA from 1 species
CUAAAAAUAGUUUAUUUAAAAUACCAGUUUUGGGAGGUGGAGAUCUCUAUGUUUUUUGGG